rnacentral:tRNA from 1 species
GGACGAAAAUCCGUUGGUUUCACGGGACCGUGAGGGUUCGAAUCCCUCUAUCCCCAGCA